GACGAACGCUGGCGGCGUGCUUAACACAUGCAAGUCGAACGGUAAGGCCCUUCGGGGUACACGAGUGGCGAACGGGUGAGUAACACGUGGGUGAUCUGCCCUGCACUUCGGGAUAAGCCUGGGAAACUGGGUCUAAUACCGGAUAGGACCACUGCCUGCAUGGGUGGUGGUGGAAAGCUUUUGCGGUGUGGGAUGGGCCCGCGGCCUGUCAGCUUGUUGGUGGGGUGAUGGCCUACCAAGGCGACGACGGGUAGCCGGCCUGAGAGGGUGACCGGCCACACUGGGACUGAGAUACGGCCCAGACUCCUACGGGAGGCAGCAGUGGGGAAUAUUGCACAAUGGGCGCAAGCCUGAUGCAGCGACGCCGCGUGAGGGAUGACGGCCUUCGGGUUGUAAACCUCUUUCAGCACCGACGAAGCGCAAGUGACGGUAGGUGCAGAAGAAGGACCGGCCAACUACGCGCCAGCCGCCGCAGUAA
rnacentral:rRNA from 1 species